rnacentral:rRNA from 1 species
UACGUAGGGUGCGAGCGUUGUCCGGAAUUAUUGGGCGUAAAGAGCUCGUAGGCGGUUUGUCGCGUCUGCCCUGAAAGUCCGGGGCUCAACUCCGGAUCUGCGGUGGGUACGGGCAGACUAGAGUGAUGUAGGGGAGACUGGAAUUCCUGGUGUAGCGGUGAAAUGCGCAGAUAUCAGGAGGAACACCGAUGGCGAAGGCAGGUCUCUGGGCAUUAACUGACGCUGAGGAGCGAAAGCAUGGGGAGCGAACAGG